CACCGCGGUUAUACGAGGAGCUCAAGCUGAUAUUCUUCGGCACAAAGCGUGAUUAAAAUACUAGCUUAAUUAAUACUAUAGAAGCCAUCAUGCCUGCUAGUUGAAUAGGUAUGCUUAAAUAUCUCAACAUCGAAAGAAUCUAUACUAAUAAACUCACUUUGACAUCACGAAAGCAAAACUCA
rnacentral:rRNA from 1 species